rnacentral:rRNA from 1 species
AUACGGAGGAUCCGAGCGUUAUCCGGAUUUAUUGGGUUUAAAGGGUGCGCAGGCGGGAGAUUAAGUCGGCGGUGAAAUUUUGCAGCGCAAAUGGAAAAGGGCCUUCGAAACUGGGUUUCUUGAGUGUAGAUGAAGUAGGCGGAAUUUGUGGUGUAGCGGUGAAAUGCAUAGAUAUCACGAGGAACUCCGAUUGCGCAGGCAGCUUACUAAACUACUACUGACGCUCAGGCACGAAGGCGUGGGGAUCAAACAGGAUUAGAUACCCUGGUAGUCCACGCAGUAAACGAUGAUUACUAGCUGUUUGCGAUACAAUGUAAGCGGCUGAGCGAAAGCGUUAAGUAAUCCACCUGGGGAGUACGUUCGCAAGAAUGAAACUCAAAUGAAUUGACGGGG